rnacentral:rRNA from 1 species
GACGAACGCUGGCGGCGUGCCUAACACAUGCAAGUCGAGCGAGUGAAUCUCCUUCGGGAGUGAAGCUAGCGGCGGACGGGUGAGUAACACGUGGGCAACCUGCCUCAUAGAGGGGAAUAGCCUUUCGAAAGGAAGAUUAAUACCGCAUAAGAUUGUAGCUUCGCAUGAAGUAGCAAUUAAAGGAGCAAUCCGCUAUGAGAUGGGCCCGCGGCGCAUUAGCUAGGUGGUGAGGUAACGGCUCACCAAGGCGACGAUGCGUAGCCGACCUGAGAGGGUGGUCGGCCACAUUGGGACUGAGACACGGCCCAAACUCCUACGGGAGGCAGCAGUGGGGAAUAUUGCACAAUGGGGGAAACCCUGAUGCAGCAACGCCGCGUGAGUGAUGACGGCCUUCGGGUUGUAAAGCUCUGUCUUCAGGGACGAUAAUGACGGUACCUGAGGAGGAAGCCACGGCUAACUACGUGCCAGCAGCCGCGGUAA